AUCUGGGCGGCGGAAUUCAGGAUGACGAGCGUGUCCCCUUUGCGGGGGGCGCGUUCGUCGUUUGAUAUUUCCGUCGCCGAUCCAACCCGCAGACGUCGCGACCUGUUCGCGGUCGGUCCCUGCUCGGAGGAGCCGCGUUCGAGUUCGUUGUGGGCGCGUUUCUGCGCGUCACACGGCGAAGACGCGGAUCUCUGGCUGGCCGACGGACAGUACGCUAAACGGUGUCCGGUGUCGUCGUCUCGUACGCGCGCGCACCGGUGCCGGUCGGCGACGAAUUCUUCGGGCCUCUUUCCGACCCGUCUUGAAACACGGACCAAGGAGUCUAACAUGCGCGCGAGUCGCGGGGUGUCGAGCGCAUCACGGUGCGUUCGUUACGUUGCGAAACCCGUACAUGUCGAAGGCGUAAUGAAAGUAAAUGGGGAAGAUGGUGUUCCGAGUACACGUUUCGCGGUCGUCGGUACCGCGGCCGGACACCCGCAUUCCCGGGGCGUCUCAACGGCCCGUCGCGGAUGCGGACAGUCGUCUCUCGGGGCGGCUGUCGGUCUGCGACGAACCGA
rnacentral:rRNA from 1 species